GAACUGAAGGUGGGAGAUGGGCUCCUGCUGUAGCCCCUGAAGCAGGGGUGUUUCCUCCUUUCAGUACUGAGAGGCGCAAGGGGAAAAACCUCUGAACGGUCAUUCACAGUGGGAAGAGGAACUGCUUUUUACAUUUUGUCCAAGUUAUUUAUGUUGAGGAAUAACACUGUGCCCUAAGAGAGACUUGGGCAUGACAGUGAGCCCUUCCUGGACUGAGGAAACAGGCCAGCAGCCCACACAGGGUGGGGAGUACAGGCACGCAAAUGGUUCUGGAACUGAGGAGAAACUCAUGUAGCAGUUGGCCCAAAGCCAGACUAGGUUUCUCCUGCCAUCCACAUGUGAGGGGCCAUGAGCAAAGAGCAUUGCACAUGAAACAGCAAACAAAGCCUGCAGAUUAAACUGAGUUGGCUUCAGGGGAUAAUUGACACAAAUCACAGCUACUAAAAAGAUACUGGCUCCUUAGAACCUGUCACACAGCGCAAAGAGACAAAGAGCGAGAGUGUAAAGCAGGCCUGGAAAACAAAAUAGCAGAAGAUGUCAUUUCAGAGGAUAAGAAAAAUCAGGAUUUGUAAAGCAGCUACCUAGGACAACAAGACAGUUGGGAGGAAAGAGCAAGGCACAAUGGAGAGUGCAGCUCCCAAAAAUGGGCAAACAGCAAGAUCAGGUACAUAUGUGA